rnacentral:rRNA from 1 species
AACCUGCCCAUCAGAAGGGGAUAACACUUGGAAACAGGUGCUAAUACCGUAUAACAAUCGAAACCGCAUGGUUUUGAUUUGAAAGGCGCUUUCGGGUGUCGCUGAUGGAUGGACCCGCGGUGCAUUAGCUAGUUGGUGAGGUAACGGCUCACCAAGGCCACGAUGCAUAGCCGACCUGAGAGGGUGAUCGGCCACAUUGGGACUGAGACACGGCCCAAACUCCUACGGGAGGCAGCAGUAGGGAAUCUUCGGCAAUGGACGAAAGUCUGACCGAGCAACGCCGCGUGAGUGAAGAAGGUUUUCGGAUCGUAAAACUCUGUUGUUAGAGAAGAACAAGGAUGAGAGUAACUGUUCAUCCCUUGACGGUAUCUAACCAGAAAGCCACGGCUAACUACGUGCCAGCAGCCGCGGUAAUACGUAGGUGGCAAGCGUUGUCCGGAUUUAUUGGGCGUAAAGCGAGCGCAGGCGGUUUCUUAAGUCUGAUGUGAAAGCCCCCGGCUCAACCGGGGAGGGUCAUUGGAAACUGGGAGACUUGAGUGCAUAAGAGGAGAGUGGAAUUCCAUGUGUAGCGGUGAAAUGCGUAGAUAUAUGGAGGAACACCAGUGUC